UCUUUCUUCAUUGUAGGUUUUUGCAAGUGCUUCCUGCUUGCACUGAAGAUGAGAAACUGUUAAUAGAUGUCAUACAUUUCUUGAAUAAGUUAAUGAAAGAACAAAGAAAAAAUUCAUCUGUAGAACUUCUAAACUGGGUUCUAGAAUUACUUCUUAGACCUAGUCCGAAUCCACUAUUGGACCUGCUGGUUCCAACAGAGUCGCAGGCUGGAGAAGCAGCAGAGGACGUCCAGACUGCUGUCAGGCAACAACUUCAGAAGGAAUUGAUUGCUCUUUUCAGUACUUUGCUGUUCAGUUUCAUGGCAGUUACUGACAGCAGAGGGUGAACUCUACACCUUUGGAGAACCUGAGUGUGGGAAGUUAGGGCUUCCUGCGGAGCAGCUGACCAAUCACAGAACGCCCCAGCUGGUGCCUGGAAUUUCCGGGAAGGUGAUCCAAGUAGCUUGUGGUGGAGGACACACUGUAGUUCUCACAGAGAAAGCAGUGUAUGCAUUUGGACUGGGACAGUUUGGUCAGUUGGGUCUUGGCACUUUUAUUUUUGAAACAUCAGAACCCAAAGUCAUUGAGCAUGUUAAGGAUCAGAGAAUAUAUCAUAUUUCGUGUGGAGAAAAUCACACAGCUUUGAUAAC